UACGGAGGGUGCAAGCGUUAUCCGGAUUCACUGGGUUUAAAGGGUGCGUAGGCGGGUAUAUAAGUCAGUGGUGAAAGCUCCGAGCUUAACUUGGAACUGCCAUUGAUACUGUAUAUCUUGAAUGUCGUUGAGGUUAGCGGAAUGUUGCAUGUAGCGGUGAAAUGCAUAGAUACAAUCAAGAACACCGAUUGCGUAGGCAGCUUACGUAGGCUGUAACUGACGCUGAGGCACGAAAGCGUGGGGAGCGAACAGG
rnacentral:rRNA from 1 species